UUAACUCUUGCGGAAUCCACGUCUUGAUUGCAACUCGUACCAAGAGUCCCGACUCUUUUUUUUUUAUAUAAACCAUUUGACAGAGUACAAUUAAGUACGCAGAUAAGAAGUAUAUUUAUUUUAUUACUUUCUACCAUUUUUAUGUUACAAGCUGAUAGUUAUAUGUCAAUGGUAUUAAAUUAAUCAUUUUAGUUGAUAAUUUGAACUCACUUGGGACUGAAGUCACACUGACAGUAAUAAAAAAUAAAAUGUUCGUCGUAUUCUAUCUAAUUGUUGGCAUAGUCAAUGUGUUAGCUGAAGACAAUAGUUAUAAUAUAUAUAUACCGAAUCACCACAAUACGGUCAAUGAAGGCACAAAUGUAAAUGAAUAUAGAAUAAAUGAAGUCAACAAUGAAUAUAUGAAGAAAAUAAAUGAACGUGAAAAUGGAAUAAAUGAAGUCGGAACAAAUAAUGAAGUCAUAAUGAACAACGUACACGAUCAUAUUGCUGAUGUGAUUAAAAAAUAUAAAAAGAUUGAUUCAAAUAUAAAUGAAUUUCACAAUGAGAAAAUGCUACAAGUGAAUGAGUAUGAAGUCGUAAGUGAUGAAAUACUGUCAAAUGAAGUUGAUCCAACAGAUGUUACCAAUGAUAACUUGGUUAGAAUUAAAAGAGCUUAUGACCGGCCCAUAUUGAAUUCAGGUUCGGUAAAGUUUAGGUUUAACCGCUGCUUUACUUGCUCCUUUGCUGGAUGUCCUAGUGGUUAUACGAUGUGGGGGAACACUUGUAUACAUAAUUAUAAUAAUUAUUAAUAAAUUGCUGAUGACGAUUUGUA